rnacentral:rRNA from 1 species
UGAAGCCGGAAUCGCUAGUAAUCGCGGAUCAGAAUGCCGCGGUGAAUACGUUCCCGGGUCUUGUACACACCGCCCGUCACACCAUGGGAGUUGGAAAUGCCCGAAGUCAGUGGCCCAACCGGAAGGGGGAGCUGCCGAAGGCAGGUUCGAUGACUGGGGUGAAGUCGUAACAAGGUAUC